GACGAACGCUGGCGGCGUGCCUAAUACAUGCAAGUAGAACGCUGAAGAGAGGAGCUUGCUCUUCUUGGAUGAGUUGCGAACGGGUGAGUAACGCGUAGGUAACCUGCCUGGUAGCGGGGGAUAACUAUUGGAAACGAUAGCUAAUACCGCAUAAAAUGGAUUAUCGCAUGAUAAUCCAUUGAAAGGUGCAAAUGCAUCACUACCAGAUGGACCUGCGUUGUAUUAGCUAGUUGGUGGGGUAACGGCUCACCAAGGCGACGAUACAUAGCCGACCUGAGAGGGUGAUCGGCCACACUGGGACUGAGACACGGCCCAGACUCCUACGGGAGGCAGCAGUAGGGAAUCUUCGGCAAUGGACGGAAGUCUGACCGAGCAACGCCGCGUGAGUGAAGAAGGUUUUCGGAUCGUAAAGCCCUGUUGUAAGAGAAGAACGAGUGUGAGAGUGGAAAGUUCACACUGUGACGGUAUCUUACCAGAAAGGGACGGCUAACUACGUGCCAGCAGCCGCGGUAAUACGUAGGUCCCGAGCGUUGUCCGGAUUUAUUGGGCGUAAAGCGAGCGCAGGCGGUUAGAUAAGUCUGAAGUUAAAGGCUGUGGCUUAACCAUAGUACGCUUUGGAAACUGUUUAACUUGAGUGCAAGAGGGGAGAGUGGAAUUCCAUGUGUAGCGGUGAAAUGCGUAGAUAUAUGGAGGAACACCGGUGGCGAAAGCGGCUCUCUGGCUUGUAACUGACGCUGAGGCUCGAAAGCGUGGGGAGCAAACAGG
rnacentral:rRNA from 1 species